UACGUAGGGGUGCAAGCGUUUAAUCGGAAUUACUGGGCGUAAAGGCGUGCGCAGGCGGGUGAUGUAAGACAGAUGUGAAAUCCCCGGGCUCAACCUGGGAACUGCAUCCGAAACUGCCUUGCUAGAGUAUGGGAGAGGGAAGUGGAAUUUCCGGUGUAGCGGUAGAAAUGCGUAGAUAUCGGAAAGGAACAUCAGUGGCGAAGGCGACUUCCUGGACCAAUACUGACGCUCAGGUGACGAAAGCGGUGGGGAGCAAACAGGG
rnacentral:rRNA from 1 species